UACGUAGGGUGCUAGCGUUGUUCGGAAUCAUUGGGCGUAAAGCGCGUGUAGGCGGUCAAUUAAGUCGGGUGUGAAAUCCCUCGGCUCAACCGGGGAAGUGCAUUCGAAACUAAUUGGCUGGAGAGUGGUAGAGGAAGGUGGAAUUCCAAGUGUAGAGGUGAAAUUCGUAGAUAUUUGGAGGAAUACCGGCGGCGAAGGCGGCCUUCUGGACCAUUUCUGACGCUGAGACGCGAAAGCGUGGGGAGCGAACAGG
rnacentral:rRNA from 1 species